GUAAACAGAGGCAAUCUCGCAAGGCUUAGCCUGAAGCCUAAACACAAAGGAACCCGCCCACCAAAAGGCCUAGUCGUAUUUUGGCUUCCACGCGAGAGCGAACGAGAAGGGAUUGGGAUGGCGGCGAUGAGAUCGGGCUUGACGAUGCUCGGCCGCCGUCUUUGCAGGUCAUCUGGAUCCUCGGCAAACGCGUCUAUGCGUGGAAGAGGGCGGGAGAUACACCAAGUUUUCUGCCCCGUGGUGACGCCGCUCCGUCCGGAACCUUGAGAGCUGGCGUCGUUUCUCUACUGACGGUAGGGACCCUUCUGUCAAAGCUGAGGGUGCUCUGCGUAUGUGGUGGCAGCGGGCUAGGAACCGUGUGGAAAAUGCCGACUUAGCACAAAGAGCCAAGUCUGCCUUUGUGUUUAGACUGGUUACUUUAGGGACAUCAACGUGCUUGUGGUGAAGUCGAUGAGGGACCUCCACCACUGAUCAUGAAGAUGAAGAUUGGAUCAUGAAGUGGCAUCCGCAGCAGUUUUGUCUUAAUAUUUCUUUCAUGGAAGGAGUUCUAGGGAUAUAAGCAUGUUGUUGAAUUCGGGUGGGUUUUUAUACGAGCUGUGAAAUCUAUUUUGACUUCGGGUGGAUUCUUUUUUAUCCAUGAUAAAUUGAUGUAAUAUAUACUGGUUUGACUAUAGAAGG